CUACGUGCCAGCAGCCGCGGUAAUACGUAGGGUGCGAGCGUUAAUCGGAAUUACUGGGCGUAAAGCGAGCGCAGACGGUUAUUUAAGUCAGAUGUGAAAUCCCCGAGCUUAACUUGGGAACUGCGUUUGAAACUGGGUAACUAGAGUAUGUCAGAGGGGGGUAGAAUUCCACGUGUAGCAGUGAAAUGCGUAGAGAUGUGGAGGAAUACCGAUGGCGAAGGCAGCCCCCUGGGAUAAUACUGACGUUCAUGCUCGAAAGCGUGGGUAGCAAACAGGAUUAGAUACCCUGGUAGUCCACGCCCUAAACGAUGUCAAUUAGCUGUUGGUGCACUAGAUGCAUUAGUAGCGAAGCUAACGCGUGAAAUUGACCGCCUGGGGAGUACGGUCGCAAGAUUAAAACUCAAAGGAAUUGACGGGGACCCGCACAAGCGGUGGAUGAUGUGGAUUAAUUCGAUGCAACGCGAAGAACCUUACCUGGUCUUGACAU
rnacentral:rRNA from 1 species